UUUGAGGUGCCUCUUUCACUGUAAAAAAAUUAGGGUGUUUCAAGCAAAGGUUGAUAUUGGAAUAUGAUAGUAUGGGAUGAUGAGAUAGGCCGUUGGCGGUAUUUUGUUGGUUUGCGCGUUGGCGGAAUGAUGAAGAGGGACAGUUGGGGGUAUUCGAAUUCUAGUGUCAGAGGUGAAAUUCUUGGAUUUCUGGAAUACGAACUACUGCGAAAGCAUUUAGCAAG
rnacentral:rRNA from 1 species